rnacentral:tRNA from 1 species
UAGCUCAGUUAGUAGAGCAUGGUGUUUGCAACGCCAGGGUUGUGGGUUCGUUUCCCAC